UAUUAUUGGUUAUCACUACAGGAC
rnacentral:siRNA from 1 species